GGGGUCAUGGCUCAGUGGCAGAGCAUCCACUUGGUGUGCAGAAGGUCCCAGGUUCGAUUGCCAGCAACUUCU
rnacentral:tRNA from 1 species